rnacentral:tRNA from 1 species
UGUGUUNUGGAGCAGCCUGGUAGCUCGUCGGGCUCAUAACCCGAAGGUCGUCGGUUCAAAUCCGGCUCCCGCAACCA